rnacentral:misc_RNA from 1 species
GAUGAAGAACGUAGUGAAAUGCGAUACGUAAUGUGAAUUGCAGAAUUCAGUGAAUCAUCGAAUCUUUGAACGCACAUUGCACUCUCUGGUAUUCCGGAGAGUAUGCUUGUUUGAGUAUCUGUAAACAUCUCAAAUCUCUCUUCGCUUGCGUCGAGAGAAUUGGAUUUGAGCGAUCCCGACUCCUUCGUCAGAAAGAGGAGGGUCGCUUGAAAUGCAGGUGCAGCUGGACAUUCUUCUGAGCUAAAAGCAUAUCUAUUUAGUCCCGUCAAACGGAUUAUUACUUUUGCUUCAGCUAAUAUAAAGGUCGAAUGAACUACCAACGCUGAUUGCAGGAAAACUCGUUUGUAACAGAACUUGUAAACUCGAUCUCAAAUCAAGUAAGACUACCCGCUGAACUUAAGCAUAUCAAUAAGCGGAGGA